rnacentral:rRNA from 1 species
UGGGGAAUAUUGCACAAUGGGCGAAAGCCUGAUGCAGCAAUACCGCGUGUGUGAAGAAGGCCUGCGGGUUGUAAAGCACUUUCAGUAGGAAAGAUAAUGACGGUACCUACAGAAGAAGCACCGGCUAACUCCGUGCCAGCAGCCGCGGUAAUACGGAGGGUGCGAGCGUUAAUCGGAAUUACUGGGCGUAAAGCGCGCGUAGGCGGCUUAUUAAGUCGGAUGUGAAAUCCCUGGGCUCAACCUAGGAACUGCAUCCGAUACUGAUGGGCUAGAGUAUGGAAGAGGGAAGCGGAAUUCCGGGUGUAGCGGUGAAAUGCGUAGAGAUCCGGAGGAACAUCAGUGGCGAAGGCGGCUUCCUGGUCCAAUACUGACGCUGAGGUGCGAAAGCGUGGGGAGCAAACAGG